AUUGAACGCUGGCGGCAGGCCUAACACAUGCAAGUCGAGCGAGCGGCGGACGGGUGAGUAAUGUCUGGGAAACUGCCUGAUGGAGGGGGAUAACUACUGGAAACGGUAGCUAAUACCGCAUACCAUCAGAUGUGCCCAGAUGGGAUUAGCUAGUAGGUGGGGUAAUGGCUCACCUAGGCGACGAUCCCUAGCUGGUCUGAGAGGAUGAACAGCCACACUGGAACUGAGACACGGUCCAGACUCCGACGGGAGGCAGCAGUGGGGAAUAUGGCACAAUGGGCGCAAGCCUGAUGCAGCCAUGCCGCGUGUAUGAAGAAGGCCUUAGGGUUGUAAAGUACUUUCAGUGGGGAGGCGUUACCGGCAGAAGAAGCACCGGCUAACUCCGUGCCAGCAGCCGCGGUAAUAC
rnacentral:rRNA from 1 species